GAUGAACGCUGGCGGCGUGCCUAAUACAUGCAAGUCGAGCGAACGGACGAGAAGCUUGCUUCUCUGAUGUUAGCGGCGGACGGGUGAGUAACACGUGGAUAACCUACCUAUAAGACUGGGAUAACUUCGGGAAACCGGAGCUAAUACCGGAUAAUAUUUUGAACCGCAUGGUUCAAAAGUGAAAGACGGUCUUGCUGUCACUUAUAGAUGGAUCCGCGCUGCAUUAGCUAGUUGGUAAGGUAACGGCUUACCAAGGCAACGAUGCAUAGCCGACCUGAGAGGGUGAUCGGCCACACUGGAACUGAGACACGGUCCAGACUCCUACGGGAGGCAGCAGUAGGGAAUCUUCCGCAAUGGGCGAAAGCCUGACGGAGCAACGCCGCAUGAGUGAUGAAGGUCUUCGGAUCGUAAAACUCUGUUAUUAGGGAAGAACAUAUGUGUAAGUAACUGUGCACAUCUUGACGGUACCUAAUCAGAAAGCCACGGCUAACUACGUGCCAGCAGCCGCGGUAAUACGUAGGUGGCAAGCGUUAUCCGGAAUUAUUGGGCGUAAAGCGCGCGUAGGCGGUUUUUUAAGUCUGAUGUGAAAGCCCACGGCUCAACCGUGGAGGGUCAUUGGAAACUGGAAAACUUGAGUGCAGAAGAGGAAAGUGGAAUUCCAUGUGUGGCGGUGAAAUGCGCAGAGAUAUGGAGGAACACCAGUGGCGAAGGCGACUUUCUGGUCUGUAACUGACGCUGAUGUGCGAAAGCGUGGGGAUCAAACAGGAUUAGAUACCCUGGUAGUCCACGCCGUAAACGAUGAGUGCUAAGUGUUAGGGGGUUUCCGCCCCUUAGUGCUGCAGCUAACGCAUUAAGCACUCCGCCUGGGGAGUACGACCGCAAGGUUGAAACUCAAAGGAAUUGACGGGGACCCGCACAAGCGGUGGAGCAUGUGGUUUAAUUCGAAGCAACGCGAAGAACCUUACCAAAUCUUGACAUCCUUUGACAACUCUAGAGAUAGAGCCUUCCCCUUCGGGGGACAAAGUGACAGGUGGUGCAUGGUUGUCGUCAGCUCGUGUCGUGAGAUGUUGGGUUAAGUCCCGCAACGAGCGCAACCCUUAAGCUUAGUUGCCAUCAUUAAGUUGGGCACUCUAAGUUGACUGCCGGUGACAAACCGGAGGAAGGUGGGGAUGACGUCAAAUCAUCAUGCCCCUUAUGAUUUGGGCUACACACGUGCUACAAUGGACAAUACAAAGGGCAGCGAAACCGCGAGGUCAAGCAAAUCCCAUAAAGUUGUUCUCAGUUCGGAUUGUAGUCUGCAACUCGACUACAUGAAGCUGGAAUCGCUAGUAAUCGUAGAUCAGCAUGCUACGGUGAAUACGUUCCCGGGUCU
rnacentral:rRNA from 1 species